rnacentral:rRNA from 1 species
ACGUAGGGUGCAAGCGUUAAUCGGAAUUACUGGGCGUAAAGCGUACGCAGGCGGCUAUGCAAGACAGGUGUGAAAUCCCCGGGCUCAACCUGGGAACUGCACUUGUGACUGCAUGGCUAGAGUCCGUAAGAGGGGGGUGGAAUUCCACGUGUAGCAGUGAAAUGCGUAGAGAUGUGGAGGAACACCGAUGGCGAAGGCAGCCCCCUGGGAUGAGACUGACGCUCAUGUACGAAAGCGUGGGGAGCAAACAGGAUUAGAUACCCUGGUAGUCCACGCCCUAAACGAUGUCGACUAGUUGUCGGGUCUCUACAGACUUGGUAACGCAGCUAACGCGUGAAGUCGACCGCCUGGGGAGUACGGUCGCAAGAUUA